CAGUGUCAAUUACCGGAGAAGACCCGCACGAGAAGACCCAAUUACACGAGAGAGCCCCGGCCAUAUAUGGAGUGAUACAUAGAGGAGUGAUAUGCAAUGCCGCCAUUAUUGAGUAAAAAUCUGUUUUCUAAUUCAACAUGUCGGACCAUUUUAAAGAUAUUUAAAAAGUGAGAUCUAUAUGACAAGUUGGCUUAAGGAAGGAUUGGGAGUUUAAGCAUUGCCAAUAGAAAAUGUCUGAGACUACUAAGGGAAAAUACAGCGCAGAUCGUGUUUAAAACUGUGAAGGCAACAUCCUGGUGCUCGUUAUGUUUUCCACAGCUUCGGCAUACUAACUGCACCCUUUCAACUCCACGACAGGCACUGAUUUUUUAAUGGAAUGGAUGUUUUAUAUUGAUGCCAUGCGAUAUCAAUAGAUCGGAACAUUUAUAAUUGAGUCAAGCAACAGAUAGUGCUUCAUCGCCUACAGACGAAGUGUAGCGUAAAAGACUAUAAAGAAAAUCGCCUGGAUCAUCGGGAUCGUUCGAAUUCACGAGUUUAGACGCAAGGCUCUCCAAUUUCUGGGAUACAUCUUCUUGUCUAACUUCGAUGUAUGUUCGGGCUAAGUAAAACAACAACCACGAAAGGUCGCUUCCGCUGGGGGAUUUCACUGGAAUACACGAUGCCAGACAUUGCAAUAAGCUGUUUACAAAGCAACGAUUUUUCUUCGGUGGAUUUUCUAGUCCCUUCAAAAGAAAGAGUGCAACAGUGGGUAUAGUACUGACCUCUUUUAUAGUUAUAGCUACAUGAUUAGAGAAAAUGACAAUUUUCGGAUUACAUACAAUUAUAUGAAUUUAAUAAAUUUUACUAACGGUACUUAAUGAAGAAAUUAAGCAACUUAUAUAUAGUGAUAAAUAUGCAUGCACAAUUAUAAAUAAAAGAUCCUUACUCGAGGUAUAAACCGAACGUCAGGUUCUUCCGUCAAUUCUUCCCUUUCCCAAGGGUCGUCAACUCUCGCUUCAUUGACAUUGCCAGUAGGACUGCUAACCGUAUUCUCGUCACUUGAAUGUGUCCCAAAAGCAGCAUCUGCAGGGAAAUAAGGCAGUGUAUCACACCCCUCUUUUGUAAUAUAAAUGUGAAUAGGUAUAUAUGCGUAGGCCUAAUACAAUAAUGCUCUACCUAUAUUUCCAGCGAUAAUGAUCCUUCCUAAUGAAUCAACAGUCGUAUGUGCUACUAAUCCAUGCUUUUGUAGGGCCUGCUCUUGACGACCGAUCUCCUCGUUGUUUUUUUUCUUGUUUCGCAGAUGAACAAGAAGUCGUUUCAUGAAUACGUGUGUAGCCGGUUGCAUCAUGUUGAGGAAAUAGUUGUCUUUGUUCAUUACACUGUGAAGUUGUUCGUGCGACUCGCUGUUUACAUUUGCGUGGAGCUGCGGGCAUAUCACUAAUCGUCGAAGCACAUCGUCUGGGUUGUUGGAAUUUUUCUCGUGGAAUCUGUCAUACAUGCUGUAACGCUCUUUCGUUCAUGUCAUUGGAUGUGUGUCAUCAGUCGUUAAACCAGCGUUGGCAUUGGUAAGUGCUGAACAUGUCCACCAUGGAAAGUGUUUUUUCAGUUUGCCAUCUGUCGCCAGUCGGAUAUUUUCGUCCGAUGAAGGAAAGGGUUUUCCUUCGUUAGGAUUGAAAAAACCUGGCUCAAGUCGAUUCAUCAGGUGGGCAAGUCUUUGUGGGAUGUCAGAUACGUUGAAUGUAGGUGGAUACUUAAAAGAUCGAAGAAGGUCUGAAUAAUCCCGCGGUCCCUCGCUUCUGAGGACGAACUUGAUCGCAUAAAUUCUGUUGUGCGGACAAGAGCCUGACGCCCAUCCACCUAAAAAGAUAACAAGCAGGAAAAUCAUACAAAUCAGUCAAAUCGUCGCUUUACAAUUCUGCAUGUAAACGUAUAAAACUAGUCAUUAAAACACUUACCCGACGCUCCCCAUAUCUUUGUAAAUAUCUUUUUGUAGUGUGUUGGUACAUUCAACUUC